rnacentral:antisense_RNA from 1 species
CUGUUAAUGGGAAGAAAUCACCAUCACGUGGUUCUUUAGAAGCAGUAGCAGUUGAUAAUACUACUGUAUCACCAUAACGUACUAAGACAGCACCGUUAGCUUGUUUAGCCAAUUGUCCUGUUUCAAUCGUUAAAGAUCUGCCUGCCCAUUCAGUUUUAAAAACUUUUUUCUCUUGAGACAUUACGAAUCUCCUCUCUUGAAUCUAAUAUUUAUAUCAUAUCAUUUAUUUAGAUAUUUUUAUAUCAGUGUUAUAUAUAGAAUUACAAAAAAAUAGGAUGGGAUAGCAAUCUAUUUUAAUAACUAGAGAUUAUUAACCCACCC